rnacentral:rRNA from 1 species
UACGGGGGGGGUAAGCGUUGUUCGGAAUUACUGGGCGUAAAGGGCUCGUAGGCGGCCAACUAAGUCAGACGUGAAAUCCCUCAGCUUAACUGGGGAACUGCGUCUGAUACUGGAUGGCUUGGAUUUGGGAGAGGAAUGCGGAAUUCCAGGUGUAGCGGUGAAAUGCGUAGAUAUCUGGAGGAACACCCGUGGCGAAGGCGGUUCUCUGGGACGGUACUGACGCUGAGACGCGAAAGCGUGGGGAGCGAACAGG